CCUACGGGAGGCAGCAGUGAGGAAUAUUGGUCAAUGGUCGAGAGUCUGAACCAGCCAAGUAGCGUGAAGGAUGACUGCCCUAUGGGUUGUAAACUUCUUUUAUAUGGGAAUAAAAUGUUCCACGUGUGGGGUUUUGUAUGUACCAUAUGAAUAAGGAUCGGCUAACUCCGUGCCAGCAGCCGCGGUAAUACGGAGGAUCCGAGCGUUAUCCGGAUUUAUUGGGUUUAAAGGGAGCGUAGGUGGAUUGUUAAGUCAGUUGUGAAAGGUUGUGGCUCAACCGUAAAAUUGCGGUUGAAACUGGCAGGCUUGAGUACAGGAGAGGUGGGCGGAAUUCGUGGUGUAGCGGUGAAAUGCUUAGAUAUCACGAAGAACUCCAAUUGCGAAGGCAGCUCACGGGAGUGCAACUGACGCUGAGGCUCGAAAGUGUGGGUAUCAAACAGGAUUAGAUACCCGUGUAGUC
rnacentral:rRNA from 1 species